GCCGUGGGCAUCUGUCCCCUGGUGGCCCUUUUCCAGGGCCUCCGCGGACCCAGUUCUACUUUGAGUCCUGCCCCUCCCCCACCUGACACGUGAGUAUCCUCAAGUCAGAAGCCUCCCAGCCCCCUCCUCUCAUCCCUAGAAAGCAAUGCAUGUACUUCCUUCAGGGAGACUUUGAUCUCUCUUGCUCCAAGCCCUCCCAUGCAUUGAUCUUGGCCCAGCAGCAUCCGUCAUUGUCCCCAGGGAACCCAAGCUUAGAUACAGCCAUGAACAGGGAAGCAGGGAGAGCAGGAGCUGGGGGUGCGUGUGGGAGGGAGGGAAGGACAGCUGUGUCGCAGGCUCUGUUGUGCCCCCUUGGCUUGAAUUCAUGCCUGUUUCCAGAAACACGGGGGAGCACUAUGUACCAUGGAGGUCGGCAAGCCCCAGAGCCAAGAGUCUCCAAAGUAUGAGAUGGCUCGGGCUCCUGAGAAGCUGGCUUCUGACUCACCCAGGGGCAGUGGGCAGACGGGCUGGCUGGGCGGCGCUGGGCCAUGCUUCGCUCAGGGACCAGGCUGUCGUGGCCCUGCCUCCCGCAACACACACCGUUUCCAAGGUUGCCAUGGUAAUCUUUCCGGCCAGCCAGGAGAGGGAAAGGAGCGUGGUGGAGAGUCACCAAGGGGUUUGGGAACAGAGACCUUCCACUCAGGGUGCCAUGCCCAGAGCGCUGAGCUGCACAGGGAUGGUGAGGAGUAUUCUGUCAUCGCAGGGGGCCUCGGGGCCAUCAGGGGGCCCUUCAGGGCACGUGGACAGGACAGAGCCCCCAGCGCUGAGGAGACUUUCCUGAGGGCAGACGGUGACUGAAGCGUUAAUACCCUCGACCAGCAAGAAGUGGAAGUGAGAUCUGCACUUGACUCUACUCUUCCGGCAACUUGGAAGACGAGCGCCCCGGGGGACACUCAGCUGCUCUCUGUGGCUUGGCCUGGCCCCUGUGUCACAGGCGGAGCAGAGGAAGCAGCAUCCGCACAGCGUUCUCCGUGAAGCGUCCCUGUGGGCAGCCUGGGCUGUGCGUAUGGCAGGAUUGAACCUGCCCCACCAUCAGGUCUUCUGAACUGGCUCCUGACCGCUUCCGGUCAUCCCUCCGUGGGCAGGAUUCUGGGAUGCCACCCACACUUUGUGCCCUGGACCCUCAGAAUCUCCUUGUUCUGUCCUCUGCCUCCCCUCCAAGUCCUCAGGCUCAGGGGCUGCUUUUCCUCCAAAACCACCCGUUGUUGAAGCAGACCUAAUGUCCACAGAGCCUCCACAGGUGCAGAAAAGUGCACUGGGGGAAGCAGAGCAUGCUGGGAGAAUGCCCCAAGGGUCCAGCAGCCAGGGCGUGCUCUCCCCUGCCCCACAGUCUCUGCAGCCCAGGCAUGCUGUUCCAGAAACUUCCUAACCUCCUGGGCAGCAGGGACAAGUGGAACCAAGCACUAAUGGGUGACCAGGAGUGCACAAGACCUGUCAGCCUCCCUGUUUGAAUGUCCUCCUGCCCCGUGGGUGUCAUGUGGGCUCUCGUGAGCCCAUGGCUGUGCCUUGCCCUCUCUGCCCUUGAGGACACGGGCUCGUGGUCAUUGUGACCAUCGUCUUUCUAGAAACAGGCUGAGGCUGGUGAGCUAACUCUGGAGAAGCCAACACUGUGAAUCGAUCCCUGGGCUGCCCGCCCACCUCAGAACUUUCUAUUCCUUUCCAUGUGGGUGCAGCAGUUUCCAAGGGACCAUUGUUGCAGUGGACUGAGAUUUAUUUCUAAUAAUUGUCCUCAUUUUAUUCAACACGGACUCCUGGCUCCUUUCUCAUCAGACACAUGUGUCUGUGCAUGGUACCUCACAGGUACCCCAUGCAAAUACAGAUACGCUAUCUUUGGACUUGCCUUCCCUCUUCCCUCACUCUGCUUGAGGUGGUGGUGUUUGACAUCGCCGGGCCAAGGGCCACCCCCGUGCCCCCCGCCACCGCAUGUGGUUGGCUCUCUGGAGAGCAGUGGAGGCAGGAAACCAUUGAGUGCUGGGUUCUUAGUGGGAGGCACCGCCAUUACCAUCAACUUGGAACAGCUUGAGGAGCGAUCUGAUGUCCGUUAACAAUCCAUGUUUGCAUGUGCAGACGGGCUGAACUAGCUGGAGAAGGGAGCGCGUCAUACUAAAGAUGGCAGAGAUGUAAGAAUAAGGCUUUAAGGCAAUAACCCUGUAAGCCACGGUUUACCAGAUGGCAAGGACUGAUAUUCAAUUCACUACCCUUGAGGUAUGGAUUCAUAUCUGAUGUCUACUGGACAGAUGUCCCCAACCAGCAGGGAACCAGAUGAGAAGUCAGAGUGUGCAUACAGAGGAGAACGCACUCUCUCUCUCUCUCUCUCUCUCUCUCACACACACACACACACGCUAUAACAUGGGUGAAUCUUGUUACUAUUACACCCAGUGAAAGACGACAUACUAUAUGAUCUCCUUGAUGUGAGACGUCCAGUAAGAGCAUAUCUGUAGAGCCACAAGUAGGUCACUGGUUGCCUGGGGCUGGGGGCCGGAACGGGGAUUAGCUAUAAAUGUGCAUGAGGGCUCUUGCUGGGGUGAUGGAGAUGUUCUAAAACUGGAUCGUGAUGAUGUUUGCACAACGUGGCAAAAUUUGCUAAAAAUUAUUGAAGUGUAUGCUUAAAAUGCUCGAAUUUUAUGGUGUGUUGUUUAUGCCUCAAUAAAGUUGUUUUUUAAAAAAGUCA